AAUGUAAUCAGAUUGCGUUACUGAGUUUGGGUAAUCCAAAGAUUACAUUUACAGGUAACUAGUAACUGUAACGGAUUACAUUUAGAAAGUACUACUCAACUACUCAACCCUGAAUAUAAGUAUUUGUUCUUAACUGACGUGCCUAGUUAAAUAAAUGUUAAAUAAAUCAAAUAAAAAUAUCAGCUACCCAACUUUAUCAAGAGUUAUCGUGAGCCUGUUUGCAGUGUGUUUACACAGGGGGAAUUGCAGAAGUAUUUUAUUUUUUGCAAUGAUCAGCUUGUCAGAAAUUCACGGAUACAAACUUGAAACCACUGACCAUGACAAUGGGAUGAAAUUCCUGGACAACAGUUGUGAUUGUCCAAUUCCAUAUUGUCCAUUUUACUUUGACCUGUCCUGUUUUUAGGAUAUGUUGUUUGUUAACAUGACAGCCAUUUUUUUAUUUGAUUGAGGGACAUCUAGGUUAGGCUAUUUGAUCGGAGAAACCUGCAUGAUGUAAAAAAUGUCCAUCUCAUUACAUUGUCGUACAUUUUAUAUCCAGCCUGUAGGUUUCAGAAAAGGCCACAUGCUCUUUCUACCAUGUCCUAUAUCUGCUACACGGACGAGGUGCGAAUUAAAAGCGAGGGUCGACCUCUGCCUGAGAUCAGUUUAAUGAAGAAGGAUGAAAAGGUGAGGGCGUUCAAUACCUACUGGUAUCAAAAGUAUAGCUGGUUAACAGGGAGCCUUUCAUCAGGGCGCCUGUAUUGCUGGCCUUGCCUGCUUUUUGGAAAGUCUGCGCCUUGGUCGGAAGGUGGGUACAGUGACCUGAAGAACAGCGAUCGUUCAGCUAAACGGCAAACCAAAAGGAAGGGGAGCAUGUAAAUGCCCACAUCAGAUUCAAGCUUCUAGGAAAAAGCUGCAUCGAUAGAGGACACGACGAGAGGGAAGGGCAAUUACAAGGUAAUUGCAGAGGCUAAGUCCCCUCCUGUUCCCUGAUUUUAAGAGGUGAUGACCACUCCAGUACCGUUCUCAACUCUCUCCUGACAUGAACUGAAGCCAUGUCUCAUGUGCCCGCUCAUCCACUGGCACAUUAAAUGUUUCCUCUCCAUGCACUUCCAAUCGAGUCCUGCACUGGUCAAGCCUCUGAACACAUCAACUCAUGCCUCAUACCCUCAUCCAAUCACUGCUGUGAUCCCUUCCCAACACUUGGAUCUCCCAUCCUCCUCCAUUUUUCAAGUCAUCAGCCUCCACUGAUGUAAAUGGACUCUGGCACAGCACAUCUGUGGUCGCAAAGGGGAAGCCAAAAUGGUCGCUGUGCAUCUCCACCUGUGCCAUUAAGGCAUUAAAGAAGACAUGUUCACCAUAGAAAAAAACUAUGAAGUGGCUGGAGAUAAUGUCCUCUGAUUAUAAUAAUGAUGCAGAUUGUUCUUUGCACUCUUUGGUCUUUGUAGGCAGACACCAUUAAAUGAUUUGUGUUUUUAA